rnacentral:lncRNA from 1 species
UUUCAAUGGGCGCCUUUCGAUUUCCACAAUUUUUUUUUAAGCUAAAGUGAAUGGUACAAAACAAGUUGUCUUGCUUCUUUAGCCGUGUAGACCUGCCCGUGAAAAACUUGCCUGAGGUCACUUGGCCUUCCCAAAGCAGUCAGGGAGAGAGCUGCUGAAUCUGGAAGGGCAGAGCUAACAGAGAACCAAAGGCAAUCAACAAAAGAGAAGUGAACUCGUCACAUCUCUGCUAUUCCCCCAGAAGUGUGUGCAGAAGUGAGAGACUCCCGGCCCAGGAAGAAAGAUCUAAAGCUGUGUCCAUAUCGCUAAACACGGCAUUUGAUUUCUUUCCCCAUCAGGGUCCACCUGAGUGGGAGGAGUUACUCUUUGAAGGCAACAAGCAUGGAGACUGGAAGUUAAUGAUUAGACCCACCUUCUUGCACAGAAGGAAACUAAAUCCGAUCAACCAGAGGAGCCCGAAGAAAAUGAAUAAGUGGCAGAAAACCUUAUAAAAAGAAAACAAAAAGUCUGCUGCAAAACCACAGCCCCUGUGACAAUCAGAGGGGGAAGACACAGGGUAAUCUCCCCCCUUAUUGAAAUAUUCAUUUGUCCUUUCUCUGCUGUUUUGGAAGCAUUUACAGCAGCUUUCACAAGCUUUCAGCUUCAAUUUAGAAAGUAGCUCUUCAAAGAGAAGGAUGAUCUUUAAUUUCUUCUUCACCUUUCUACAGCACUCUGCACACAGCUGGUGUUCAAUAAAUGUUUUGCGCACUCAAAUGUAAGAAGUAUG